AGCAAUGUUUGAAUAUUGAUAAGAAAUUCAGAUCUCACCUGACAAGAAUCCUUUUUCCCAUCGGGAUAUCCAGCGCACAUCAUGUUAUCAGAGAUCAUACGUGGACUGUAGCUUGUGUUACGGCAAUCCUGAAGGCUCAUAACCGGUACCUCGACUUCCUGCAGCAGGCAAGAUGGCUUCCCAUCCUCGUACAAGGUACCCCAGCCGGACGCGAUUGCUUUCGUUCCAACGUAUUGCUUAUCUGGAAACAUUAACGUGGCCCGUAUAUGCAACGAUGGAAACAAUUAUCAAACAGAAAGACGAAUGCUUACCCUUUGACACAGUGAGCCGCGGUCAGGACGUAGCGAUCAUUAAUCAACGUUCCACCACAGUAGAAUUUGUUCAAAUACGAAAGCCUGGCCAUCCAUGGGAAUUCGUUCAUGCGAGUAGUUUGACCACCGACUAUUCGGCUUUCUUCGUUCCGCAGACCGCAACCUAAUACAUAGUUUGAACAGGUAAAGGUGUUAACAACCUGGUUUUCUUAAAUGGAAAACGCAGUUCAUAACGGUAACGAAAGAUAAGAUAAUAAGUUGAUAAUAUCGAUUGGAAUUUAAUGGUAAGAUGGAAUUUAGAAUUUGAUGUAAUAUAACGACGUUGGGAUUAAGUAAUAGCGUUGAAUAGAAAUUUAGUGCCUUUUGUGUGACUGCUUUUUGUUUUAGUGAGUGUGGUUAUGUAUUCAUUAUAUAAACAGUACCAAUAAGUAACAUUUAAGUAAUAGAAUUUUAGUUUCUCAGUUAGCAAUAAUAAUUUUAUUUUGUACUAGAUGAUAUUGUAUUUAUUAUAUACAUUGAAUGUAUUGAAUAAUAUAAUUAAGUAAAUAUUUCGAAUAUUCUCAAUAUUGUGUAACCGAAUUUUAUAUCGUCAUUUGUAACUCGUUACUUUUUAUAUUGUUAGCGAAGAUAGAAGCUGUACUUACUACAGUAACAAGGUGCAGGUGCUUCCAUGGCGUACGGUGGUUUGUUACCAAAAAUACCAAAAAAGUUUUUCACCCUCUCACCGAAAGUACUUGCCUAAAAGUUUUAUGUAACUCUAACUCAACAUCAGUUUAUUAUCAUCUAACAGAAUUAACAUUUCUUUUUUAAAAAUAAAAUUUGAUUCAUAUUAUACGUAUCAUAUUAUUCAUAUUAUCGUGUAACAUUUUUGUACGAAAUCGUUCAACUAUGUAAUCUGCUUAUUAUUAGGUAUUUAAGUUUCAAUAAUCGUAAACCAUAGGAGAUCGUCGCCCACUUACGUUGCACCUAAACCUAAAUGAAUUAACAAA
rnacentral:misc_RNA from 1 species